rnacentral:lncRNA from 1 species
UUGAAGUCUUCCGUUGAGUUUCUCUUUCUCUCUACUCCCUUUUCAUCUCCAUUGCAGUUCUUCUCCUUGGAUUCUAUGUCCUUUCACUCCACUUUGAAUGUUUUCGCGUCGCCCGAUUGAUCUUUGUCUUAAUCGUAUCGCCUUCUUGUUUAGGGUGUAUUUAAUUGUGUUGGUAUAGGUAGCCUUUGCCAUUCUGUUUUCAAUAGCUGGGGAAACCGAACUCUGUAAUGUCACUGUUUUACUUACCAGGAUAGUUGACACACCUCAAAGCACCAGAGAAAAAUGGGAGCACAAGUGAAACACAGCCACAUGGGCUCAGCACAAGGGCUGCGUCCCCUUCACGCACAGCAGGAAGUGAUCUUACCGGCACAGCACAGUCAGCGAAGAAAAGAAAUGAGGAGAUCUACUCUUUCUAAUCCCCGAAUCCAAUGUGAGAAAUAACAUGGAUCCCGGGGAAUUCCAAAAGGAAAAAAAAAAGGAAACCCCAGAGGAUCAGGUUCUAAAUGAAGAGGAAACCAGGACACCUGCUGCGUGUUUCGCGAUGCUGCAGGCCACGCAGUGGAGUAAUAUUGACUGAAUAUCGGUCAUGUGCAGGGCUGUCCUCUCGAAUUAGAGGAAAGACCUGUUGUUGAAUAAAAAAGGAAAGCUAU